rnacentral:rRNA from 1 species
AACGAACGCUGGCGGCAUGCCUAACACAUGCAAGUCGAACGAGACCUUCGGGUCUAGUGGCGCACGGGUGCGUAACGCGUGGGAACCUGCCCUUAGGUUCGGAAUAACUCCCCGAAAGGGGUGCUAAUACCGGAUAAUGUCUUCGGACCAAAGAUUUAUCGCCUUUGGAUGGGCCCGCGUUGGAUUAGCUAGUUGGUAGGGUAAAAGCCUACCAAGGCGACGAUCCAUAGCUGGUCUGAGAGGAUGAUCAGCCACACUGGGACUGAGACACGGCCCAGACUCCUACGGGAGGCAGCAGUAGGGAAUAUUGGACAAUGCGCGAAAGCCUGAUCCAGCAAUGCCGCGUGAGUGAUGAAUGCCUUAGGGUUGUAAAGCUCUUUUACCCGGGAUGAUAAUGACAGUACCGGGAUAAUAAGCACCGGCUAACUCCGUG